rnacentral:rRNA from 1 species
AGUGAACGCUGGCGGUAGGCCUAACACAUGCAAGUCGAACGGCAGCACAGUAAGAGCUUGCUCUUACGGGUGGCGAGUGGCGGACGGGUGAGGAAUACAUCGGAAUCUACUUUUUCGUGGGGGAUAACGUAGGGAAACUUACGCUAAUACCGCAUACGACCUACGGGUGAAAGCAGGGGAUCUUCGGACCUUGCGCGAUUGAAUGAGCCGAUGUCGGAUUAGCUAGUUGGCGGGGUAAAGGCCCACCAAGGCGACGAUCCGUAGCUGGUCUGAGAGGAUGAUCGGCCACACGGGAACUGAGACACGGUCCAGACUCCUACGGGAGGCAGCAGUGGGGAAUAUUGGACAAUGGGCGCAAACCUGAUCCAGCCAUACCGCGUGGGUGAAGAAGGCCUUCGGGUUGUAAAGCCCUUUUGUUGGGAAAGAAAAGCAGCAGGUUAAUACCCCGCUGUUCUGACGGUACCCAAAGAAUAAGCACCGGCUAACUUCGUG